AAGUCGUAACAAGGUUUCCGUAGGUGAACCUGCGGAAGGAUCAUUAAUAUCAAAACGUUUUUUACAACGUUAACCCAAAAUGUUGAACUGUAUCGGAAACGUUGGUGGUUUUUUGGCUAAGUUUCCGCUAACGUUUCUUUGUUUUCAAUCAAAAUUUAGCUAAUUCAUUUUAACCCAAUUUCACCUCGAUAUUCAUUUGUAUGAACUUAUCGUUUUUUGAUCCGAAAGGAUUGAAAAAAUCAUACGAAACUUAAGAACAACUCUUAACAACGGAUAUCUUGGCUCUCGUACCGAUGAAGAACCGCAGC
rnacentral:misc_RNA from 1 species